rnacentral:rRNA from 1 species
UACGUAGGGUGCAAGCGUUAAUCGGAAUUACUGGGCGUAAAGCGUGCGCAGGCGGUUUUGUAAGUCUGUCGUGAAAUCCCCGGGCUCAACCUGGGAAUGGCAUUUGAUACUCUGAGGCUGGAGUACGGGAGAGGAGAGUGGAAUUCCCAGUGUAGAGGUGAAAUUCGUAGAUAUUCGCAAGAACACCAGUGGCGAAGGCGGCUCACUGGCCCAUAACUGACGCUGAGGCACGAAAGCGUGGGGAGCAAACAGG